rnacentral:rRNA from 1 species
GACGAACGCUGGCGGCACGCUUAACACAUGCAAGUCGAACGAGAGAAGAGAAGCUUGCUUUUCUGAUCUAGUGGCGGACGGGUGAGUAACACGUGAGCAAUCUGCCUUUCAGAGGGGGAUACCGAUUGGAAACGAUCGUUAAUACCGCAUAACAUAAUUGAACCGCAUGAUUUGAUUAUCAAAGAUUUAUCGCUGAAAGAUGAGCUCGCGUCUGAUUAGCUAGUUGGUAAGGUAACGGCUUACCAAGGCGACGAUCAGUAGCCGGACUGAGAGGUUGAUCGGCCACAUUGGGACUGAGACACGGCCCAGACUCCUACGGGAGGCAGCAGUGGGGAAUAUUGCACAAUGGAGGAAACUCUGAUGCAGCGAUGCCGCGUGAGGGAAGAAGGUUUUAGGAUUGUAAACCUCUGUCUUCAGGGACGAAAAAAGACGGUACCUGAGGAGGAAGCUCCGG